rnacentral:lncRNA from 1 species
AAGAAGUCUAUGUGGGCACGAAUGUCUUGACAUUAUGUUCAUAUGUCUUACAAUCGAACUCAUGAUUCAAGAAUUGCUUGUAUAGAUCAUAUCAUGAGAAUCUUGCAUCUUCAUCUUACUUCUCGGGUAUCUUGAGUCUGAGGUGUCCCGACACCAAUCAGGUCUGAAUCUCGGGCAGAUAUGAUGGUUGGAACAUUUUCCCAAUAACUAUAACUUUGGUCUUUAUGUAACCUGGUAUGGUGAUGUCUAGUCUGGCACACCGGGCCGAAGGACCUAUUGUUAUAAAUUCUUCCAUGUGUAAGAUUCACCAUCCUUUCAUGUGGAAACUAUAUGACUUAUUUCAUAAGUUGAUCGUCAUGAAUCUUCUUUGUAUACCCC